rnacentral:rRNA from 1 species
GGGUUGUGAGGUUAAGCGACUAAGCGUACACGGUGGAUGCCCUGGCAGUCAGAGGCGAUGAAGGACGUGCUAAUCUGCGAUAAGCGUCGGUAAGGUGAUAUGAACCGUUAUAACCGGCGAUUUCCGAAUGGGGAAACCCAGUGUGAUUCGUCACACUAUCAUUACGUGAAUACAUAGCGUAAUGAAGCGAACCGGGGGAACUGAAACAUCUAAGUACCCCGAGGAAAAGAAAUCAACCGAGAUUCCCCCAGUAGCGGCGAGCGAACGGGGAGCAGCCCAGAGUCUGAAUCAGCUUGUGUGUUAGUGGAACGGUCUGGAAAGUCCGACGGUACAGGGUGAUAGUCCCGUACACCAAAAUGCACAGGUUGUGAACUCGAAGAGUAGGGCGGGACACGUGGUAUCCUGUCUGAAUAUGGGGGGACCAUCCUCCAAGGCUAAAUACUCCUGACUGACCGAUAGUGAACCAGUACCGUGAGGGAAAGGCGAAAAGAACCCCGGCGAGGGGAGUGAAAAAGAACCUGAAACCGUGUACGUACAAGCAGUGGGAGCCUCUUUAUGGGGUGACUGCGUACCUUUUGUAUAAUGGGUCAGCGACUUAUAUUCUGUAGCAAGGUUAACCGUAUAGGGGAGCCGAAGGGAAACCGAGUCUUAACUGGGCGUUAAGUUGCAGGGUAUAGACCCGAAACCCGGUGAUCUAGCCAUGGGCAGGUUGAAGGUUGGGUAACACUAACUGGAGGACCGAACCGACUAAUGUUGAAAAAUUAGCGGAUGACUUGUGGCUGGGGGUGAAAGGCCAAUCAAACCGGGAGAUAGCUGGUUCUCCCCGAAAGCUAUUUAGGUAGCGCCUCGUGAAUUCAUCUUCGGGGGUAGAGCACUGUUUCGGCUAGGGGGUCAUCCCGACUUACCAACCCGAUGCAAACUGCGAAUACCGAAGAAUGUUAUCACGGGAGACACACGGCGGGUGCUAACGUCCGUCGUGAAGAGGGAAACAACCCAGACCGCCAGCUAAGGUCCCAAAGUCAUGGUUAAGUGGGAAACGAUGUGGGAAGGCACAGACAGCCAGGAUGUUGGCUUAGAAGCAGCCAUCAUUUAAAGAAAGCGUAAUAGCUCACUGGUCGAGUCGGCCUGCGCGGAAGAUGUAACGGGGCUAAACCAUGCACCGAAGCUGCGGCAGCGACACUAUGUGUUGUUGGGUAGGGGAGCGUUCUGUAAGCCGUUGAAGGUGUAUCGUGAGGUAUGCUGGAGGUAUCAGAAGUGCGAAUGCUGACAUAAGUAACGAUAAUGCGGGUGAAAAACCCGCACGCCGGAAGACCAAGGGUUCCUGUCCAACGUUAAUCGGGGCAGGGUGAGUCGACCCCUAAGGCGAGGCCGAAAGGCGUAGUCGAUGGGAAACAGGUUAAUAUUCCUGUACUUGGUGUUACUGCGAAGGGGGGACGGAGAAGGCUAUGUUAGCCGGGCGACGGUUGUCCCGGUUUAAGCAUGUAGGCGGAGGUUCCAGGUAAAUCCGGUACCUUUUAACGCUGAGGUGUGAUGACGAGGCACUACGGUGCUGAAGUAACAAAUGCCCUGCUUCCAGGAAAAGCCUCUAAGCAUCAGGUAACACGAAAUCGUACCCCAAACCGACACAGGUGGUCAGGUAGAGAAUACCAAGGCGCUUGAGAGAACUCGGGUGAAGGAACUAGGCAAAAUGGUGCCGUAACUUCGGGAGAAGGCACGCUGAUAUGUAGGUGAAGUGAUUUACUCAUGGAGCUGAAAUCAGUCGAAGAUACCAGCUGGCUGCAACUGUUUAUUAAAAACACAGCACUGUGCAAACACGAAAGUGGACGUAUACGGUGUGACGCCUGCCCGGUGCCGGAAGGUUAAUUGAUGGGGUUAUCCGUAAGGAGAAGCUCUUGAUCGAAGCCCCGGUAAACGGCGGCCGUAACUAUAACGGUCCUAAGGUAGCGAAAUUCCUUGUCGGGUAAGUUCCGACCUGCACGAAUGGCGUAAUGAUGGCCAGGCUGUCUCCACCCGAGACUCAGUGAAAUUGAACUCGCUGUGAAGAUGCAGUGUACCCGCGGCAAGACGGAAAGACCCCGUGAACCUUUACUAUAGCUUGACACUGAACACUGGUCCUUGAUGUGUAGGAUAGGUGGGAGGCUUUGAAGUGUGGACGCCAGUCUGCAUGGAGCCAUCCUUGAAAUACCACCCUUUAAUGGCUGGUGUUCUAACGUGGACCCGUAAUCCGGGUUGCGGACAGUGUCUGGUGGGUAGUUUGACUGGGGCGGUCUCCUCCUAAAGAGUAACGGAGGAGCACGAAGGUUAGCUAAUCCUGGUCGGACAUCAGGAGGUUAGUGCAAAGGCAUAAGCUAGCUUGACUGCGAGAGUGACGGCUCGAGCAGGUGCGAAAGCAGGUCUUAGUGAUCCGGUGGUUCUGAAUGGAAGGGCCAUCGCUCAACGGAUAAAAGGUACUCCGGGGAUAACAGGCUGAUACCGCCCAAGAGUUCAUAUCGACGGCGGUGUUUGGCACCUCGAUGUCGGCUCAUCACAUCCUGGGGCUGAAGUAGGUCCCAAGGGUAUGGCUGUUCGCCAUUUAAAGUGGUACGCGAGCUGGGUUUAGAACGUCGUGAGACAGUUCGGUCCCUAUCUGCCGUGGGCGCUGGAGAAUUGAGGGGGGCUGCUCCUAGUACGAGAGGACCGGAGUGGACGCAUCACUGGUGUUCGGGUUGUCAUGCCAAUGGCAUUGCCCGGUAGCUAAAUGCGGAAGAGAUAAGUGCUGAAAGCAUCUAAGCACGAAACUUGCCCCGAGAUGAGUUCUCCCUGAGACUAUAAGUCUCCUGAAGGAACGUUAAAGACGAUGACGUUGAUAGGUCGGGUGUGUAAGUGUAGCGAUACAUUGAGCUAACCGAUACUAAUGAACCGUGAGGCUUAACCUUACAACGCCGAAG